rnacentral:rRNA from 1 species
GGUUAAGCGACUAAGCGUACACGGUGGAUGCCCUGGCAGUCAGAGGCGAUGAAGGACGUGCUAAUCUGCGAAAAGCGCCGGCGAGGUGAUAUGAACCUUUGACCCGGCGAUGUCCGAAUGGGGAAACCCAGUGCAAUCCGUUGCACUAUCGUUAACUGAAUACAUAGGUUAACGAGGCGAACCGGGGGAACUGAAACAUCUAAGUACCCCGAGGAAAAGAAAUCAACCGAGAUUCCCCCAGUAGCGGCGAGCGAACGGGGAGCAGCCCGGAGUCUGAAUCAGCUUGUGUGUUAGUGGAACGGUCUGGAAAGUCCGACGGUACAGGGUGAUAGUCCCGUACACGAAAGCACACUUGCUGUGAACUCGAAGAGUAGGGCGGGACACGUGGUAUCCUGUCUGAAUAUGGGGGGACCAUCCUCCAAGGCUAAAUACUCCUGACUGACCGAUAGUGAACCAGUACCGUGAGGGAAAGGCGAAAAGAACCCCGGCGAGGGGAGUGAAAAAGAACCUGAAACCGUGUACGUACAAGCAGUGGGAGCCUCUUUAUGGGGUGACUGCGUACCUUUUGUAUAAUGGGUCAGCGACUUAUAUUCUGUAGCAAGGUUAACCGUAUAGGGGAGCCGAAGGGAAACCGAGUCUUAACUGGGCGUUAAGUUGCAGGGUAUAGACCCGAAACCCGGUGAUCUAGCCAUGGGCAGGUUGAAGGUUGGGUAACACUAACUGGAGGACCGAACCGACUAAUGUUGAAAAAUUAGCGGAUGACCUGUGGCUGGGGGUGAAAGGCCAAUCAAACCGGGAGAUAGCUGGUUCUCCCCGAAAGCUAUUUAGGUAGCGCCUCGUGAACUCAUCUUCGGGGGUAGAGCACUGUUUCGGCUAGGGGGCCAUCCCGGCUUACCAACCCGAUGCAAACUACGAAUACCGAAGAAUGUUAUCACGGGAGACACACGGCGGGUGCUAACGUCCGUCGUGAAGAGGGAAACAACCCAGACCGCCAGCUAAGGUCCCAAAGUCAUGGUUAAGUGGGAAACGAUGUGGGAAGGCACAGACAGCCAGGAUGUUGGCUUAGAAGCAGCCAUCAUUUAAAGAAAGCGUAAUAGCUCACUGGUCGAGUCGGCCUGCGCGGAAGAUGUAACGGGGCUAAACCAUGCACCGAAGCUGCGGCAGCGACGCUUAGGCGUUGUUGGGUAGGGGAGCGUUCUGUAAGCCGUCGAAGGUGUCCUGUGAGGGGUGCUGGAGGUAUCAGAAGUGCGAAUGCUGACAUAAGUAACGAUAAAGCGGGUGAAAAGCCCGCUCGCCGGAAGACCAAGGGUUCCUGUCCAACGUUAAUCGGGGCAGGGUGAGUCGACCCCUAAGGCGAGGCCGAAAGGCGUAGUCGAUGGGAAACAGGUUAAUAUUCCUGUACUUGGUGUUACUGCGAAGGGGGACGGAGAAGGCUAUGUCAGCCGGGCGACGGUUGUCCCGGUUUAAGCAUGUAGGCGGAGGUUCCAGGUAAAUCCGGUACCUUGUUAACGCUGAGGUGUGAUGACGAGGCACUACGGUGCUGAAGUGAUAAAUGCCCUGCUUCCAGGAAAAGCCUCUAAGCAUCAGGUAACACGAAAUCGUACCCCAAACCGACACAGGUGGUCAGGUAGAGAAUACCAAGGCGCUUGAGAGAACUCGGGUGAAGGAACUAGGCAAAAUGGUGCCGUAACUUCGGGAGAAGGCACGCUGAUAUGUAGGUGAAGUCCCUGCGGACGGAGCUGAAAUCAGUCGAAGAUACCAGCUGGCUGCAACUGUUUAUUAAAAACACAGCACUGUGCAAACACGAAAGUGGACGUAUACGGUGUGACGCCUGCCCGGUGCCGGAAGGUUAAUUGAUGGGGUUAGCGGCAACGCGAAGCUCUUGAUCGAAGCCCCGGUAAACGGCGGCCGUAACUAUAACGGUCCUAAGGUAGCGAAAUUCCUUGUCGGGUAAGUUCCGACCUGCACGAAUGGCGUAAUGAUGGCCAGGCUGUCUCCACCCGAGACUCAGUGAAAUUGAACUCGCUGUGAAGAUGCAGUGUACCCGCGGCAAGACGGAAAGACCCCGUGAACCUUUACUAUAGCUUGACACUGAACACUGGUCCUUGAUGUGUAGGAUAGGUGGGAGGCUUUGAAGCGUGGACGCCAGUCUGCGUGGAGCCAACCUUGAAAUACCACCCUUUAAUGGCUGGUGUUCUAACGUAGACCCGUAAUCCGGGUUGCGGACAGUGUCUGGUGGGUAGUUUGACUGGGGCGGUCUCCUCCCAAAGAGUAACGGAGGAGCACGAAGGUUGGCUAAUCCUGGUCGGACAUCAGGAGGUUAGUGCAAUGGCAUAAGCCAGCUUGACUGCGAGCGUGACGGCGCGAGCAGGUGCGAAAGCAGGUCAUAGUGAUCCGGUGGUUCUGAAUGGAAGGGCCAUCGCUCAACGGAUAAAAGGUACUCCGGGGAUAACAGGCUGAUACCGCCCAAGAGUUCAUAUCGACGGCGGUGUUUGGCACCUCGAUGUCGGCUCAUCACAUCCUGGGGCUGAAGUAGGUCCCAAGGGUAUGGCUGUUCGCCAUUUAAAGUGGUACGCGAGCUGGGUUUAGAACGUCGUGAGACAGUUCGGUCCCUAUCUGCCGUGGGCGCUGGAGAAUUGAGGGGGCUGCUCCUAGUACGAGAGGACCGGAGUGGACGCAUCACUGGUGUUCGGGUUGUCAUGCCAAUGGCACUGCCCGGUAGCUAAAUGCGGAAAAGAUAAGUGCUGAAAGCAUCUAAGCACGAAACUUGCCCCGAGAUGAGUUCUCCCUGAGACCUUGAGUCUCCUGAAGGAACGUUGAAGACGACGACGUUGAUAGGUCGGGUGUGUAAGCGCAGCGAUGCGUUGAGCUAACCGAUACUAAUGAACCGUGAGGCUUAACCUU